rnacentral:rRNA from 1 species
GUGCCAGCCGCCGCGGUAAUACGGAGGAUGCGAGCGUUAUCCGGAUUUAUUGGGUUUAAAGGGUGCGCAGGCGGGAUUUUAAGUCAGCGGUGAAAUUUUCAGGCUCAACCUGAACACUGCCGUUGAAACUGGGAUUCUUGAGUAUGGAUGAAGUAGGCGGAAUUCGUUGUGUAGCGGUGACAUGCUUAGAUAUAACGAGGAACUCCGAUUGCGUAGGCAGCUUACUAAGCCAUAACUGACGCUCAAGCACGAAAGCGUGGGGAUCAAACAGGAUUAGAUACCCUGGUAGUCCACGCCGUAAACGAUGAUUACUAGUUGUUUGCGAUAUACCGUAAGUGACUAAGCGAAAGCGAUAAGUAAUCCACCUGGGGAGUACGCCGGCAACGGUGAAACUCAAAGGAAUUGACGGGGGCCCGCACAAGCGGUGGAGCAUGUGGUUUAAUUCGAAGCAACGCGAAGAACCUUACCAGGUCUUGACAUCCCUUGACAGCCUCAGAGAUGAGGUAUCUCUUCGGAGCAAGGAGACAGGUGGUGCAUGGUUGUCGUCAGCUCGUGUCGUGAGAUGUUGGGUUAAGUCCCGCAACGAGCGCAACCCUUGCCUUUAGUUGCCAUCAUUCAGUUGGGCACUCUAGAGGGACUGCCGGUGACAAACCGGAGGAAGGUGGGGAUGACGUCAAAUCAUCAUGCCCCUUAUGUCCUGGGCUACACACGUGCUACAAUGGUCUGUACAGAGGGAAGCGAAGCAGCGAUGUGAAGCGAAUCCCAGAAAACAGAUCUCAGUUCGGAUUGUAGGCUGCAACUCGCCUACAUGAAGCUGGAAUCGCUAGUAAUCGCAGGUCAGCAUACUGCGGUGAAUACGUUCCCGGGCCUUGUACACACCGCCCGUCACACCACGAAAGUUUGCAACACCCGAAGCCGGUGGCCUAACCCGUAAGGGAGGGAGCCGUCGAAGGUGGGGCAGAUGAUUGGGGUGAAGUCGUAACAAGGUAACC